rnacentral:rRNA from 1 species
GGGACAACUACCGGAAACGGUAGCUAAUACCGCAUACGCCCUAUGGGGGAAAGGCUUCGGCCGCUAUUGGAUGAGCCCGCGUCAGAUUAGCUAGUUGGUAGGGUAAAGGCCUACCAAGGCAACGAUCUGUAGCUGGUCUGAGAGGACGAACAGCCACACUGGGACUGAGACACGGCCCAGACUCCUACGGGAGGCAGCAGUGGGGAAUAUUGGACAAUGGGCGAAAGCCUGAUCCAGCAAUGCCGCGUGUGUGAAGAAGGCCUGCGGGUUGUAAAGCACUUUCAGUUGGGAAGAUGAUGACGUUACCAACAGAAGAAGCACCGGCUAAAUCCGUGCCAGCAGCCGCGGUAAUACGGAUGGUGCGAGCGUUAAUCGGAAUUACUGGGCGUAAAGCGCGCGUAGGCGGCUAAGUCAGUCAGAAGUGAAAGCCCCGGGCUCAACCUGGGAAUUGCUUUUGAUACUGCUUGGCUAGAGUUUGGUAGAGGAUAGUGGAAUUCCAGGUGUAGCGGUGAAAUGCGUAGAUAUCUGGAGGAACAUCAGUGGCGAAGGCGACUGUCUGGACCAAAACUGACGCUGAGGUGCGAAAGCGUGGGUAGCAAACAGGAUUAGAUACCCUGGUAGUCCACGCCGU